AAAAAACCUUCUUAAAAAUAUGGAAGAUCUGGAAGACUUACGCAGGCCAAUAAUGAGCACAAUUUUGAAUGCAGACCUUUUCUCACUGAAAUAUGUUGCCUGGAGAAAGUGUUUGACCAUAGAAGAAGGACUUGUGAUCCCCAGAACUUAACUCUUUGUCCAUGGAAUCUAUUGAUCUAGGAACAAACAUUUUCUCUAAUAAGAGGCCUUAUCUCUCAAGUGUGCAUUGAGACUCUAGAAUCAAAUUAUUCAAGCUAUGAAUGUUUGGGAUUUCAGGUGCUUUGCAGUUAGAAGCUGUGUGGCUGUUUCUCAGUUAACCUCUUGUUUGGCCCCUUAACUUUAGGACCUGUUGAAGUUCCAGAAACUUAUAGAUGUCAUUAUGAGACUUAUGUCAUUAUGAAACCAGGCCUGGUUUAUCUGUCUUGAUCACAAUAAUUCUUUCUUAACCUCAGUAUAUUUAGGUAACAUGAACAGUAAGCCAAACAGAUAUUUUGUAUGAAUAUAAUGAGGCAUUUUUUAUCAAUACAUAGAUAUAAAAAGGGUUGUCUUAGCAUAGCUUUUAAAAAAAUAUGUUUUAAAGGUGUAAGACUUAAUAUUGUGCAUGCAGAGUUCAGAAAGAGCUUUAGAAAGUAAAGAGCUGGUAAACAAAUAUAUUUGGUAAAGUUAGAAAGAAAGGAAGGCAAAAAAUCGCCUAAAAUUGGUGUUCCAAGGAAGACAAUAACCAUUGGGUGGGCAGUGCACAAAUAGGAUAUGGACAAAUUAUUUGUUGUUCAGUAUCCUUGGCUACCCUAUUAAGUAGGAAUGUGUCUGAAAAAGUACAAAAAAGUUGGCAGUGAUCAGAGAAAAGUUAUGAAGUAGUUCCUCGUCAUCAUCAUCAAGGAGGAGGCCUCAUUCAGCACCUGACAGUCAAUGUAAGGUUGCUUUUUUUUUUUUUAAUGUGUUUUUGAUGAUGUUGUACUCCUCUAAUAUACCUUGUAAAGUUCUACUUUCUGUAUUGACCAGAUUUUGUUGAGGGAUGUUACUUUAAAAAUGGAGUAAAGAAUGAGCAAGGGAUUUACCUUAAGAGACAAAAGCGUUUGCAGGUGGCAACAACGAGCCUCAGAACUGGCAUUGGAUUAAUUCUGUGCUGUCUCUAUUGCUUGAAAAUACAACUGCAAGUUUAAAUGAUAAAGAGACAUGAAGUUGACAAAGUAAACUCUGUUGUUGUGAGUAUUUAAAAAAGACAUGUUUAUUCUAACUUCAGUAUUCUACCAGACUCUACAGAAGAUCCAUGUUUAAUUUGAAGCAGAAAAACCUGUGUCAGAUUUGAUGAUGGACUCAAGGCACCUUGUAUGCAUCUGUGUUUAUAAUUGUGGGCCAGCAAGAUGAAUGAGACCUCUCUGCAGUAUUAGUUGAUACUGACUUUUGUUUUUUUUGUACUGUCUUCUAAGUUGAUGACUCAAAGAUAUCCUAACUGCUAAAAGCAUUCUAAGAAGUUAAAUACUGGGGAAAAAAAUACUAAAAAGGGAGAACUAGGGAUUCUUUCUUCAAGAUUGGUUGUUUGCCUUUAGGGGAUGGUGUGGAGGGGAUGGGGUUUUGCUGCCUGACAUCCACCUUGGUUGUACAGCUAUUCUACUUGGGGAUAAUGGAGGGAGCAAACAAACUCAUGGGCAUGUGCCCCAAUGUGUAGUUGGAAAACAGAAACUCUGGAACUUAAUGCUACCAGUUUCAAGUGUUUGGGGCCUUGACACGAGAGGCUUGGGGUUUUUAAAAAUCUCUUGCAGUUUCACAGCUGCGAAAUGUUGCCAUCCUUUUGCAGGGAUUAUUUAAAUAUUUAUCCUUUCUUGCUACUUGACCUUUCCUGCUUGGUUUUAGUUCCUGUGGCCAGCUUGCUUUGUGUUUCAUGAGCUCAGUAAACCGUGGCCUUCAAUUCCCUUGUUCUAGUAUUUUCACUUAAGACCAGGAGUGAUGAGCAAAAGGUUUCAGGCUCAAUCCUUGAGCAAAGGGCCGCUGUGACAGGGAUUAUUAUUUAUUUGUCAUCUUGGAUGUAAUAAGCUGUAGGUACAGCAUCGAGAGCCCUUGAUUUAUUGCGCUGUCGACUGCCACUAGCAGGACGUCUGCUGUACCAUGCAGGAUGAAUACCACACUGUCAGCUCUGUCGAUCUGUCUCUGCCACUGCGCUCUCUCUCAUAACACAUUCCCAUUUCAUGCCAGAAUACAUAAACAAUCUUUCAUUAUUUUGAUGCCUUUUUCAUAUUUGUUCUUUACAGAACAUAAAGUUUGAAUUUAUGGGUUUCCUUUACAUUAUUUCAACACACUCCACCAUUUUCCGGGUUUGUGGUUUAACUCUCAGAAAUUGGCUGCCAGGUGAUUUAGUUAUUUUGGCUUUCUAGUUUUAUAGUUAUUUAAUAUCACAGUGCCAGAUACUGAGAAAACGUAGUGUAUAGCAGGAAAUACUCCCUCCAACCUUCAUUUUUAAUUUAUUUAAAUACUUUUCCAAAAUAUUUUUCCUUAGAUGCUGUUACAAAUGUAAUGGAAAGCUGUUUAAUUGGAAAAGAACAUGUGAAUAGUGAGCAAGCCAUUUCCCUUGAAUAAUUGCAAUUAAGGGAAUUUCUAACCUGUUGGCAGAAACAUUGCUCUGAUUUUUUUCCUAUACUUUAUUGUAGGUGGGGAAAAGGGAGGAAAGAAUGUCCAGAAAUUUGUGUCAUUUGUACUAUGCAUUCUUCAUACUUUACGGUGGUCCGCACCUGUUUAUAUUCUCUAAUUUUGUUUACCUAAGGGUUUUUUCUUUAAUACUCUGAAGCAUGUUAUUCAUUGAAGUCUAAGGAACUGAAAGUCAUUGCUCGAAUGAGUGAACUUAAAUGUCACUAUAAAUACAGCAAGUCAAAUACGAAUGUAUAUCAAAAUAGUUAAAAAUGUGUUAUAAAAAAGGCUUAUGAGUAGCAUUAAAAAAAUUAUUGCAAACUGUGCAGAGCAUGAACCAGAAAAUGUAGUGUUCCUGCCAACGUAACGUGCACAUAUAACUUGGGUUGUGUGAGCAGCCCGUCACUCCAUGGGUACAGCAGUGGACAGUAAAGUCUUGAGGAAGGGGCCAUGUAAGCUGCUCUGUGCAGUGUGCAGCAGGGGCUGGGCUUCAGGUGCUGCAAAUGACUGACCGUGAUCAGUAACAUUCCUCCAAGUUACUUGUGUAUGCAAACAUUUCCAAGGUAGUGAGGCAUAAUUAUUUUGUGAUAUUACCCUGUGUCUUCUCAUCAAAACAUAUUAAAGUCUGAUAAAGACUUGUUCAUUGCUAUGUUUGUGUGCAAUGGUUGCAAAGUUUUUGUGCUUGAGAGGCAGGUGAAUAAUGACUCCUAAUUUUCUUUUAUUGAAAAAAGUAGGGCUGCUUUUCCAUCUUCAGUGAAAACAUAUGAGUGUUUUUCAUAGUCAGUUUUAUUUUUUUUUCCCUAAAAGGAGAGAGAAAGCAUGCCUUUGCCACUGAAACUAUAUCUGGUAAAAAGAAACUUGUUUUAAUUGGCUGUGAAAAUAAGCAUAUUUCUCUAGGAUGUUAACAAAUGUGGAAUCACUCUAUAAAAGCAAGAUAAUAAUUGUCAGUUCUUCCUCCUCAGUGCAGCCUACAUUAGGACAGCUGGGAAUACGCAUAGCUCAUGUUACAUAGCAAAGAUUUGUUCUAGCUACAAAGAAACCAGAGUAAAUUAAUAUGAGAAAUUUGUUUUGUGUCCGGGGUAAAAAAGGCUGUGCAGGUUGGUGUUGUCAGCAAAAGCUGCUUGUCACUUUGACCUGCUCUGUUAAGUGUUUGAUGUGUUUUCUCAGAGUAAUCUGUGAAUAACAUUACACCCAACCAGCAGAGAAGCAGAGGGAGCGAUAGCAGAAUUAAUAUCUGGAAGCGUUGAUAAUUAUAUAUCAGAAUCUAAUUUUUAGCACAGAAAAUGUGUUAAUGACAGAGAAGAAAACAAAAACCACUAGCUUCUCCCAGCAGGAUCCAAAGUGUCAUUUAUUAUUUCUCAGCUGGAUAUCUAUCAAGUUUAUGGGUUAAUUUUUCUGUAGACUGUUAUUUAUGGGUUUUUGUUUGUUUUCAGCCAUCAUUACUAACAAUACGGUUAAUAGCAAUCAUUUGUUAUCCGGCACCAGCGGUGAUGCUUCAGAUGCGAGCAGUGAACUGAGAAUACUCAUUUGGUAGCUGAAUAAGGCUUUGACAGGGCCCAUUUAUAACAAGCUCAUUCCAUAAUGUCCAGCCUAUUAAUAAAAUUUUGUUGCUGUCUAAUUAGAGAUGUCUGAUGUGUAUAGUAGCCCAGCAAAGAAGACUUUCUUCUGCUGCUUUUCAGUUCUACUGUAUCAUACCUGAAACAUACAUGAGGCCAGUGGUUCAGGGAAUAAAACUGGGGUGUUCUGGGGUUCUGUCUCCCUUCCUAAGUGCAAUGAAAUACAGGUAUGGCAGGAAGGCCCAGGUCACAUAUUCAUGCACGUUGAGGGAAAGUCUUUAUUUUCGUUAGCUCAGAUCACCCUCAAGUAUCUCUUUUUUUCUUCUUUCGUGUGUUUUCUUUUAUUGGCUUUAUGUUCAAGUUUUAGCUAAAAAUAAACUUAAAGUAAAACAUAUCUGUGAUAUUGUAAUUGGAUGUAUACAUGUAGACAGAAUGUGAUUCUUGGGUGUGUCAGUAUAUCUUUGAGAAAAGAACAGUUUGAUCCCUGAGGGAAGGGGUGUGAUGAGAGAAAAAAGCCUGGGCCUGAUCAUUAGAUUUAUUUUUUUUCUUUCUUCUGUGUCUUUGAGGAGUGAGGAAUCAGCAGGAUUUACUGUACUCAGCAGUAAGGGGAUAGUUAGCAGUAUAACCGAGACUGGAAGCAGAGCCUAUUGUUGCCCAGCAAGUCCCAGAAUAUUUGAAGUACUUUGUACAGGUCAUAGAACAAUCCUGUGUUUUUGCUGAUGGGAUCUUUCAUCAAAACACAUAAAAAUAUAUUUUUAGUGGUGAGUUAAAUAGUGUGCUCACCGAGUUGUUGUGAGUGAGCGGUUUGUAAACUGAAGCACAAUUAGGCAAAAAGAUUUAUACCAGGACAUAGAAGUUGUUUCUGGGAGGGUUUCAGUUCCCUAGUGAGUGAUUUCAUGCAGGUGAUUUCUGUUCCUGAAAUGACCUGUCAGAAACAUUCUUGUUCCAUUUUGUUUAUACAGGUAGAAUCAAGUAUAUUAUAAUGAUGGAAAUGAGUUAAUUUCCAUUUCAUAAAAUGUUUUUGCUCACGUAACUGCUGAUUUAGUGAUAACAUAUACCCUUCCACCCUGCUUCUACUUUGUAGUGCACAAAUGGAAUGCUUCAAGAACUUUUGUCGUU